AGCAGCCGCGGUAAUUCCAGCUCCAAUAGCGUAUAUUAAAGUUGUUGCAGUUAAAAAGCUCGUAGUUGAAUUUCGGGGUUAGUAGAUUGGUCAUGCCUCUGGUAUGUACUGGUCUCACAGAUUCCUCCUUCCUGAUGAUCCGUAAUGCCAUUAAUUUGGUGUUGCGGGGAAUUUGGACUGUUACUUUGAAAAAAUUAGAGUGUUUAAAGCAAGCUAACGCUUGAAUACAUUAGCAUGGAAUAAUGAAAUAGGACGUUCGAUCCUAUUUUGUUGGUUUCUAGGAUUGACGUAAUGAUUAAUAGGGAUAGUUGGGGGCAUUAGUAUUCAAUUGUCAGAGGUGAAAUUCUUGGAUUUAUUGAAGACUAACUACUGCGAAAGCAUUUGCCAAGGAUGUUUUCAUUAAUCAAGAACGAAAGUUAGGGGAUCGAAGACGAUCAGAUACCGUCGUAGUCUUAACCAUAAACUACGCCGACUAGGGAUCGGAUGAUGUUAAUUUUUUAAUGACUCA
rnacentral:rRNA from 1 species